rnacentral:rRNA from 1 species
AUGAACGCUAGCUACAGGCUUAACACAUGCAAGUCGAGGGGCAGCAUGGUCUUAGCUUGCUAAGGUCGAUGGCGACCGGCGCACGGGUGAGUAACACGUAUCCAACCUGCCGUCUACUCUUGGACAGCCUUCUGAAAGGAAGAUUAAUACAAGAUGGCAUCAUGAGUCCACAUGUUCACAUGAUUAAAGGUAUUCCGGUAGACGAUGGGGAUGCGUUCCAUUAGAUAGUAGGCGGGGUAACGGCCCACCUAGUCUUCGAUGGAUAGGGGUUCUGAGAGGAAGGUCCCCCACAUUGGAACUGAGACACGGUCCAAACUCCUACGGGAGGCAGCAGUGAGGAAUAUUGGUCAAUGGGCGAGAGCCUGAACCAGCCAAGUAGCGUGAAGGAUGACUGCCCUAUGGGUUGUAAACUUCUUUUAUAAAGGAAUAAAGUCGGGUAUGCAUACCCGUUUGCAUGUACUUUAUGAAUAAGGAUCGGCUAACUCCGUGCCAGCAGCCGCGGUAAUACGGAGGAUCCGAGCGUUAUCCGGAUUUAUUGGGUUUAAAGGGAGCGUAGAUGGAUGUUUAAGUCAGUUGUGAAAGUUUGCGGCUCAACCGUAAAAUUGCAGUUGAUACUGGAUGUCUUGAGUGCAGUUGAGGCAGGCGGAAUUCGUGGUGUAGCGGUGAAAUGCUUAGAUAUCACGAAGAACUCCGAUUGCGAAGGCAGCCUGCUAAGCUGCAACUGACAUUGAGGCUCGAAAGUGUGGGUAUCAAACAGGAUUAGAUACCCUGGUAGUCCACACGGUAAACGAUGAAUACUCGCUGUUUGCGAUAUACUGCAAGCGGCCAAGCGAAAGCGUUAAGUAUUCCACCUGGGGAGUACGCCGGCAACGGUGAAACUCAAAGGAAUUGACGGGGGCCCGCACAAGCGGAGGAACAUGUGGUUUAAUUCGAUGAUACGCGAGGAACCUUACCCGGGCUUAAAUUGCAGAUGAAUUACGGUGAAAGCCGUAAGCCGCAAGGCAUCUGUGAAGGUGCUGCAUGGUUGUCGUCAGCUCGUGCCGUGAGGUGUCGGCUUAAGUGCCAUAACGAGCGCAACCCUUGUUGUCAGUUACUAACAGGUUCUGCUGAGGACUCUGACAAGACUGCCAUCGUAAGAUGUGAGGAAGGUGGGGAUGACGUCAAAUCAGCACGGCCCUUACGUCCGGGGCUACACACGUGUUACAAUGGGGGGUACAGAGGGCCGCUACCACGCGAGUGGAUGCCAAUCCCAAAAACCUCUCUCAGUUCGGACUGGAGUCUGCAACCCGACUCCACGAAGCUGGAUUCGCUAGUAAUCGCGCAUCAGCCACGGCGCGGUGAAUACGUUCCCGGGCCUUGUACACACCGCCCGUCAAGCCAUGGGAGCCGGGGGUACCUGAAGUGCGUAACCGCGAGGAGCGCCCUAGGGUAAAACUGGUGACUGGGGCU